GAGGCGAACCGGGGGAACUGAAACAUCUAAGUACCCCGAGGAAAAGAAAUCAACCGAGAUUCCGAAAGUAGCGGCGAGCGAAAUUGGACUAGCCCUUAAGCUUUACACGCGUUAGACGAACGGUCUGGAAAGUCCGACGAUACAGGGUGAUAGUCCCGUAGUUGACGACGUGUGUUCAGUGAAAUCGAGUAGGGCGGGACACGUGAUAUCCUGUCUGAAUAUGGGGGGACCAUCCUCCAAGGCUAAAUACUACUGACUGACCGAUAGUGAACCAGUACCGUG
rnacentral:rRNA from 1 species